UUGGGCCUGGGAACCUUGUCCCAUGGUGGAUCUAGGGGGUGUAAGAAUCCGGUGAAGGUCCAGGACAGAAUGUGACAAUUUGUUUAGGCCUUAAGCCCAAACCGGAUCCAUACUUGACAAUGCAACGGGUUAGACCAGGGGCUUCUCCAUUGCGCUCUUGGCAUAUUCACACGCUUCAUACUAGUGUCGGCUUCGCAAGAUCAAUCUAGGGGUAUGAUCCAGAAUCACGUUCCAGAAUUCAAGAUGAAGACGAAAGUAAGUCGAUCGUUCACUCUUCAUCUUUGCUUCACCUGGCUUGUGCGAAUUCAAUAUGAAGACGAAAGGAGCGAGAACUCACUGUAUCAGUGCCGACAACGAGCACUUCGUAGAUUGCUUUAUCUUCUUCUCCUUCUGUAAUUCUCUCUUCUAUUCCUAUUUCUUCGUGACUUCUGCAAACGAACUCUGACACGGUUCCGACGUCGUCAACGACUUCACAAUUGACAGUAUUAGGAAACUGCUUAAAAUUGAAAUGAACCACGCCGAAGACUGCAAGGAAUUGGGCUUCGUGGAAUUGAAGUAAAAAUCAGUCUUUAAUGUUUAUGGAAUUUCUAUGAAGGUAGACUGUAUUGCAAUGUUUGAUGGAUGCUAUUUGGAUUAUGGGCAUGGGCUUGAAUUCGCUUGGGAGUUCACAUGCUUGGAAUAAAUUUGGGAUGAAUUUAAUUUGUGCAUAAAUUGUAAUUUUUUUUGUAGCAAAUUGGUUUUCAAUGAAGGCUUAGUGAACUUGGUUUGUAAGUGAUUUUAUGUCAUGAGCUAGGAUUGCAAUUUGUAUAGUUUGAAGUUAAGAUUGUAGAUUCAUUCAUGGUUAUGCAUGUUUGUAAGCUUAAAUUGUAACGACAUUGAUUUGAAGAACUGUAUGAAGACGGAAUGCAGUGAAAGCUCAUAAAGUUUGAUUUUGGUGUAA